rnacentral:tRNA from 1 species
GGCUCCUUGGUCAAGCGGUUAAGACACCGCCCUUUCACGGCGGUAACACGGGUUCGAAUCCCGUAGGAGUCA